AGGAUGAACGCUAGCUACAGGCUUAACACAUGCAAGUCGAGGGGCAGCAUUUUAGUUUGCUUGCAAACUGAAGAUGGCGACCGGCGCACGGGUGAGUAACACGUAUCCAACCUGCCGAUAACUCCGGGAUAGCCUUUCGAAAGAAAGAUUAAUACCGGAUAGCAUACGAAUAUCGCAUGAUAUUUUUAUUAAAGAAUUUCGGUUAUCGAUGGGGAUGCGUUCCAUUAGUUUGUUGGCGGGGUAACGGCCCACCAAGACUACGAUGGAUAGGGGUUCUGAGAGGAAGGUCCCCCACAUUGGAACUGAGACACGGUCCAAACUCCUACGGGAGGCAGCAGUGAGGAAUAUUGGUCAAUGGGCGAGAGCCUGAACCAGCCAAGUAGCGUGAAGGAUGAAGGCUCUAUGGGUCGUAAACUUCUUUUAUAUGGGAAUAAAGUUUUCCACGUGUGGAAUUUUGUAUGUACCAUAUGAAUAAGGAUCGGCUAACUCCGUGCCAGCAGCCGCGGUAAUACGGAGGAUCCGAGCGUUAUCCGGAUUUAUUGGGUUUAAAGGGAGCGUAGGUGGAUUGUUAAGUCAGUUGUGAAAGUUUGCGGCUCAACCGUAAAAUUGCAGUUGAAACUGGCAGUCUUGAGUACAGUAGAGGUGGGCGGAAUUCGUGGUGUAGCGGUGAAAUGCUUAGAUAUCACGAAGAACUCCGAUUGCGAAGGCAGCUCACUAGACUGUCACUGACACUGAUGCUCGAAAGUGUGGGUAUCAAACAGGAUUAGAUACCCUGGUAGUCCACACAGUAAACGAUGAAUACUCGCUGUUUGCGAUAUACAGUAAGCGGCCAAGCGAAAGCAUUAAGUAUUCCACCUGGGGAGUACGCCGGCAACGGUGAAACUCAAAGGAAUUGACGGGGGCCCGCACAAGCGGAGGAACAUGUGGUUUAAUUCGAUGAUACGCGAGGAACCUUACCCGGGCUUAAAUUGCAACAGAAUAUAUUGGAAACAGUAUAGCCGUAAGGCUGUUGUGAAGGUGCUGCAUGGUUGUCGUCAGCUCGUGCCGUGAGGUGUCGGCUUAAGUGCCAUAACGAGCGCAACCCUUAUCUUUAGUUACUAACAGGUUAUGCUGAGGACUCUAGAGAGACUGCCGUCGUAAGAUGUGAGGAAGGUGGGGAUGACGUCAAAUCAGCACGGCCCUUACGUCCGGGGCUACACACGUGUUACAAUGGGGGGUACAGAAGGCGGCUACCUGGUGACAGGAUGCUAAUCCCAAAAACCUCUCUCAGUUCGGAUCGAAGUCUGCAACCCGACUUCGUGAAGCUGGAUUCGCUAGUAAUCGCGCAUCAGCCAUGGCGCGGUGAAUACGUUCCCGGGCCUUGUACACACCGCCCGUCAAGCCAUGAAAGCCGGGGGUACCUGAAGUACGUAACCGCAAGGAGCGUCCUAGGGUAAAACUGGUAAUUGGGGCUAA
rnacentral:rRNA from 1 species